ensembl:lncRNA
GACCCCCAGGCCACCACCUUCGAUGACAAAAUCUGGAACUUCCUCGUGGUCAACGGACGAGGACAUGCGGAGUGUCACCAGCCUGAGCCCCUCCGGGGACGUGGCCGACCUGGGGGACUUCGAGAGUGACCCCGAGGACGAGGGGGGCGCCCCCCCCGCGCCCCCAGGUGGGUCCCCAAUGUCCCCAAGGUGUCCCCAAGGUGUCCCCAAGGUGUCCCCAAGGUGUCCCCAAGGUGUCCCCCCAAUGCCGGGGGUGGCUCUGGGGGGGACACACGAGCCCGGCCCCCCCCGGGGGUCCCUGACCCUCCUCUCCCCCAGCGCCCCCCCCCAGCGGGGACCCCCCGAAUUUGGGGACCCGGAGGGACCCCCCGGAGCCGGGGGGGGACCCAGAGACCCCCCCCGAAAUCAGUGCCGUGAGUGGGGGAGGGGCUCGGGGACCCCUGAAUUGGGGGAGGGGGAGGGGGGGGAGUUUGGGGACCCCCUGAAUUGGGGGGGGGGGAGGGGGGGAGUUUGGGGACCCCCUGAAUUGAGGGGGGGGGUCCCAUGGGGGUGGGGGGGGGUUUGGGGCCGUUCCUCCUCCCCCAUUUUGGGGCUGGGGGGGGUCUCAGGGUUUUGGAGGGUCUCUGGGUUUUGGGGGGGGUCUCAGGGUUCUGGGGGGGGUCUCUGGGUUUUGGGGGGGGUCUCUGGGUUUUGGGGGGGUCUCUGGGUUUUGGGGGGGGUCUCUGGGUGCUGGGGGGGUCUCUGGGUUUUGGGGGGGUCUCAGGGUUUUGGGGGGGGUCUCUGGGUUCAGGGGGGGGUCUCUGGGUUUUGGGGGUUCUCUCUGAGCUGACCCCCCCCCCGUGCCCCCCCCAGGACCCCCCCGGGGGUCGCGGGGCGCUCCUGGCCUGGUGCCGGGGGGUCACGGCCGGGUACCGGGGGGUCGCCGUCACCGAUUUCGGGGGGUCCUGGAGCAGCGGGUUGGGGUUCUGCGCCCUCCUGCACCGGCUGAGACCCCGAGAGAUGUGAGGGGGGGCUGGGGGGGCGGGGAGGGGACACAGGGGGGGGGUCCUGGAGGGUUUGGGGGGGUCCUGGAAGGUUUGGGGGGGUCCUGGAGGGUUUGGGGGGGGGGUCCUGGAAGGUUUGGGGGGGUCCUGGGGGGUCCUGGGGGGUUUGGGGGGGGGUCCUGGAGGGUUUGGGGGGGGGGUCCUGGAAGGUUUGGGGGGGUCCUGGGGGAGUCCUGGGGGGUUUGGGGGGGUCUUGGGGGGGGUCCUGGAGGGUUUGGGGGGGAUAUGGGGGGGAGUUCUGGAAGGUUGGUGGGGGUCCUGGAAGGUUUGGGGGGGUCCUGGAAGGUUUGGGGGGGGGUCCUGGGGGGUUUGGGGGGGUCCUGGAAGGUUUGGGGGGCUGACAGGGGACAGAGGGGACACCUGGGAGGGGAGUGGGGGGUCCUUGGGGGGUUUGAGGAGCAAUUUUUGGGGACCACCCAUGGGUGAAGGGGGGGUCAGGGCACCCCGGGGAUGUUGGGGGGAUCCCUUGGGUGUGGGGGUGGGCACUGGGGGGGGUUUGUGUCACUUGGGGACCCCUCAGUG